AGGAAGUUCAUAUCCACCUACCGAUGACGUCAGAGAACAGCCUGGAGCAACGUGUCCCUCAGUUUGACUCGCAGGAUUCUCAGGUCACAGCUGGAUUCAGGCCUCGGCGGGGACAUCUGGACGCCGUCAGGUCUCGGCUGGUCCUCUGUCUCGUCCUCCUCUGCGUCCUGACGAUGUCUGCUGUUUCCCUGCAGCCUUUUAACCGAUGACCGGCGAGCACGCUCACAUCUGGACCAUGACGUCACUCAGAGGUUAUUGCUGUAUUUAGCCACUGACUGACGGAGCCGCCGGCCAAUGAGAGCGCGGCUCUGCUCCGCGCCCCGCUGUGAUUGGCUGCUGCGGUGACGGGGGGCGGGGCGCUGAGAUUACAGCAGCAUCUCGGGCUGCAGAGCCGCGGACAUCUGGAGCCGCUCCGCCGGGAAUCAAACCUCCGAGCAUCGACACCCCGCUUCCUGCCCGCCCGGGGGCCAGCGUCUGAUUCCGGGGAGAAGGCCGCCGGGCUCCGGUGCCGCCGUCCGGCUCCGCGGGCCGAGCUGCACCGGGAGGCGGCUGCGCUCCGGAGGGACCGACCGACCGAGCCUGCCGGUAAAAACACGGAACUCCGGCUGAAACCCGGGAGGAGGGGUGAUGGACUGAAGUGAUCCGACAUCCGAGAGGGGUUAGGCCCGAUGGAAGCUGCGACACACCCGGAGCGUCCCGGUCCCGGUUGCUGCUGCGCUCUGGACUGAGGACUCUGUGCGUCUGUGAGGGUCUGAACACAUUAAUUUCUCCUUCAGUUUGUCUGAUCUUUGCUCUGAUUCACCAGAGUUUCUCCUCCUCCUCCUCCUCCUCCUCCUCCUCCUGCUGGUCUGGAUUAGAGCCCAUCAGGAUCAUGAAUCAUCCACCCUCUGCUCCUCUAAUCUGGGUUUUACCGAGCUGGAUUUAAAUCUGAGAUCUGAUCUGGAUUACUCUGCUCCUGGAUCUGAUCGGGUCUCAUCUGACCCGGUCUGAGCCUGGUCUGGUCCUGAUCUGGUCCCGGUCCUCUGGUCCUGGUCUCAGGGAGUCCUGCUGUCACCAUGCCGACGUCCCGGCCGGGUUCGGCGGCGGUGGAGUUCUGGGUGGACGGGUCGCGGCGGGACGGGGCGGUGGAGGAGUUCUACACCCUGAGCUCGGAGCUGGGCAGGUCUGGACCA